CCUACGUGCGGCAGCAGUGAGGAAUAUUGGUCAAUGGGCGCGAGCCUGAACCAGCCAAGUAGCGUGAAGGAUGACUGCCCUACGGGUUGUAAACUUCUUUUAUAAAGGAAUAAAGUGAGGCACGUGUGCCUUUUUGUAUGUACUUUAUGAAUAAGGAUCGACUAACUCCGUGCCAGCAGCCGCGGUAAUACGGAGGAUCCGAGCGUUAUCCGGAUUUAUUGGGUUUAAAGGGAGCGUAGAUGGGUUGUUAAGUCAGUUGUGAAAGUUUGCGGCUCAACCGUAAAAUUGCAAUUGAUACUGGCAGUCUUGAGUACAGUUGAGGUAGGCGGAAUUCGUGGUGUAGCGGUGAAAUGCUUAGAUAUCACGAAGAACUCCGAUUGCGAAGGCAGCUUACUAAACUGCCACUGACAUUGAUGCUCGAAAGUGUGGGUAUCAAACAGGAUUAGAUACCCUAGUAGUC
rnacentral:rRNA from 1 species